rnacentral:rRNA from 1 species
GUAGGUGGCAAGCGUUGUCCGGAAUUAUUGGGCGUAAAGCGCGCGCAGGCGGUUCUUUAAGUCUGAUGUGAAAGCCCGCGGGCUCAACCGUGGAGGGUCAUUGGAAACUGGAGAACUUGAGUACAGAAGAGGAAAGCGGAAUUCCACGUGUAGCGGUGAAAUGCGUAGAGAUGUGGAGGAACACCAGUGGCGAAGGCGGCUUUCUGGUCUGUAACUGACGCUGAGGCGCGAAAGCGUGGGGAGCAAACAGGAUUAGAUACCCUGGUAGUCCACGCCGUAAACGAUGAGUGCUAAGUGUUAGGGGGGUUUCCGCCCCUUAGUGCUGCAGCUAACGCAUUAAGCACUCCGCCUGGGGAGUACGGCCGCAAGGCUG